rnacentral:tRNA from 1 species
GAAGGUAAGGCUCAGUGGUAGAGCGUGUGCUUAUUAGCACAAGGUCCUGGGUUCAAUCCCCAAUAGCUCCA